UAAUCCCUGGAAACGGGGACUAAUACCGCAUAUUGAGAUAAUAUCGCAUGGUAAUAUCUUGAAAGAUUUAUCGCUUAUGGAUGGACUCGCGUCAGAUUAGAUAGUUGGUGAGGUAACGGCUCACCAAGUCGACGAUCUGUAGCCGAACUGAGAGGUUGAUCGGCCGCAUUGGGACUGAGACACGGCCCAGACUCCUACGGGAGGCAGCAGUGGGGAAUAUUGCGCAAUGGGGGGAACCCUGACGCAGCAACGCCGCGUGCAGGAAGAAGGCCUUCGGGUUGUAAACUGUUGUCGCUUGUGAAGUAGACAGUGACGGUACCUUGUGAGAAAGUCACGGCUAACUACGUGCCAGCAGCCGCGGUAAUACGUAGGUGACAAGCGUUGUCCGGAUUUACUGGGUGUAAAGGGCGCGUAGGCGGGAUAGCAAGUCAGUCGUGAAAUGCCGGAGCUUAACUCCGGAGCUGCGAUUGAAACUGCCAUCCUUGAGUAUCGGAGAGGAAAGCGGAAUUCCCAGUGUAGCGGUGAAAUGCGUAGAUAUUGGGAGGAACACCAGUGGCGAAGGCGGCUUUCUGGACGACAACUGACGCUGAGGCGCGAAAGUGUGGGGAGCAAACAGGAUUAGAUACCCUGGUAGUCCACACCGUAAACGAUGGAUACUAGGUGUAGGAGGUAUCGACCCCUUCUGUGCCGCAGUUAACACAAUAAGUAUCCCACCUGGGGAGUACGACCGCAAGGUUGAAACUCAAAGGGAAUUGACGGGGGCCCGCACAAGCAGUGGAGUAUGUGGUUUAAUUCGAAGCAACGCGAAGAACCUUACCUGGACUUGACAUCCCGCUGACCGUCUUAGAGAUAGAUUUUCCUUCGGGACAGCGGUGACAGGUGGUGCAUGCUUGUCGUCAGCUCGUGUCGUGAGAUGUUGGGUUAAGUCCCGCA
rnacentral:rRNA from 1 species